rnacentral:rRNA from 1 species
AGUGAACGCUGGCGGCAUGCCUAACACAUGCAAGUCGAACGGCAGCACAGGAAGCGCUCGCUCUUACGGUGGGCGACGGGCGGGUGGGUGAGGAGUACAUCGCCAGCUACUUGGUCUGGGGGGACAACGGAGGGAAACAUACGGUAAUAGCGCAUACGAUCAACGGGUGGAAGCAGAAGACCUUGGGACCUUGCGCGAGCCAAUGAGCCGAUGGCGGAUUAGCUAGGUGGCGGGGUAAAGGCGCACCAAGGCGACGAUCCGUAGCGGGUCUGAGAGGAUGAUCAGCCACACUGGAACUGAGACACGGUCCAGACUCCUACGGGAGGCAGCAGUGGGGAAUAUUGGACAAUGGGCGCAAGCCUGAUCCAGCCAUGCCGCGUGGGUGAAGAAGGCCUUCGGGUUGUAAAGCCCUUUUGUUCGGGAAGAAAAGCUGCGGGUUAAUACCCCGCUGUUCUGACGGUACCCAAAGAAUAAGCACCGGCUAACUUCGUG